GUAAGCCUACAGUAAUAUGGGUUCAGGUAAGCCUACAGUAAUAUGGGGUCAGGUAAGCCUACAGUAAUAUGGGUUCAGGUAAGCCUACAGUAAUAUGGGGUCAGGUAAGCCUACAGUAAUA